rnacentral:tRNA from 1 species
AGAGGUGUGGCUCAAGUGGUAGAGUAUCUGCCUAGCAAGUACAAGGCCCUGAGUUCAAUCCCUAGUACCACAA